GACCUCGGAUCAGGUAGGAAUACCCGCUGAACUUAAGCAUA
rnacentral:rRNA from 9 species